UACGUAGGGGGCAAGCGUUAUCCGGAAUUACUGGGUGUAAAGGGAGCGUAGACGGCAAUGCAAGUCCGGAGUGGAAUGCGGCAGCUCAACUGCCGAACUGCUCUGGAAACUGUAUGGCUUGAGUGCAGGAGGGGUAAGUGGAAUUCCUAGUGUAGCGGUGAAAUGCGUAGAUAUUAGGAGGAACACCAGUGGCGAAGGCGGCCUGCUGGACGACAACUGACGGUGAGGCGCGAAAGCGUGGGGAGCAAACAGG
rnacentral:rRNA from 1 species